GUUGUGGCUCUGUUCAUCACACAACACGUGCAUCUUCGGUGAUUAGCUACAAGCAAAAUCAAGAAAGAGAGAGAGAGAGAGAGAGAGAGACUCUUCGUCUUGCUAGGAAAAUGAAGAGCAAUUUCUCCCAUCUUGUUCUUUUCUUCUUCUGUGUGGCAUCUCUGCUUACCUCGCCAUCACUAGCUAUACGUCAAGGGGCCUUUCAAGCUGUGAGCUACAAGAACCUUGUAGGCAGCUACCACCAACUUACCAAGAGACCAUCUUUUUCUCAGAGUGGUGGUUACAGAAAUCUGUUCCGCCAGUUGAUUUCCCUGGACUAUGACCCUACUAUUGGUGCCCCACCUCAAAUACAUUCUGUUCCCAGCCAGCAUGAACGUACAGGAAACCAUUUCUAAAUUAAUCACCAAAACAGUUCAGAAAACCUGAAUUUUCCGAGGCGUCUUCCCAGUUAGUUGAUUUCAAUGUGACUCUCAAUAUCUUCUACAUGAGGAAUUUGAUUAAUUAGUAAUCUAUUUAUAUUUAGGAACCAAAAGGUCUCGGUAACGACGACCUGGUUCAAGAUUAUUAUCAUUAGUUAGAAAAUUAUAUAAGAAACCUUCGUCGCUGCAGGAGUUCUUAGCAGUUUUGCAGCCAAGAGAAAUUUAAGAUAUAUGUAUGCAGCACCUUCUGUUAAAUUAUUGUAAUUUGUACCGGCCAAUAGAGGUACUUGUUUUGAGCAGAAAAAUUAAUACUGCAUACCAUAUGUAACAGGAAUAUAUUGAUUAAUAAGUGCUAUUUUUUUUAUAA